UGGGGAAUAUUGCACAAUGGGCGCAAGCCUGAUGCAGCAACGCCGCGUGAACGAUGAAGGUCUUCGGAUCGUAAAGUUCUGUUGCAGGGGAAGAUAAUGACGGUACCCUGUGAGGAAGCCCAGGCUAACUACGUGCCAGCAGCCGCGGUAAUACGUAGGGGGCUAGCGUUAUCCGGAUUUACUGGGCGUAAAGGGUGCGUAGGUGGUCCUUCAAGUCGGUGGUUAAAGGCUACGGCUCAACCGUAGUAAGCCGCCGAAACUGGAGGACUUGAGUGCAGGAGAGGAAAGUGGAAUUCCCAGUGUAGCGGUGAAAUGCGUAGAUAUUGGGAGGAACACCAGUAGCGAAGGCGGCUUUCUGGACUGCAACUGACACUGAGGCACGAAAGCGUGGGUAGCAAACAGG
rnacentral:rRNA from 1 species